GACGAACGCUGGCGGCGUGCUUAACACAUGCAAGUCGAACGGAAAGGCCCUGCUUUUGUGGGGUGCUCGAGUGGCGAACGGGUGAGUAACACGGGAGUAACCUGCCCUUGACUUUGGGAUAACUUCAGGAAACUGGGGCUAAUACCUGAUAGGAGCUCCUGCUGCAUGGUGGGGGUUGGAAAGUAUCGGCGGUGGGGGAUGGACUCGCGGCUUAUCAGCUUGUUGGUGGGGGAGUGGCUUACCAAGGCUUUGACGGGUAGCCGGCCUGAGAGGGUGAACGGCCACCUUGGGACUGAGAGACGGACCAGACUCCUACGGGAGGCAGCAGUGGGGAAUAUUGCACAAUGGGCGGAAGCGUGAUGCAGCAACGCCGGGUGCGGGAUGAAGGCCUUCGUGUUGUAAACCGCUGUCGCCUGUGACGAAGCGUGAGUGACGGUAAUGGGUAAAGAAGCACCGGCUAACUACGUG
rnacentral:rRNA from 1 species